rnacentral:rRNA from 1 species
AAAUUGAAGAGUUUGAUCAUGGCUCAGAUUGAACGCUGGCGGCAGGCCUAACACAUGCAAGUCGAGCGGAAACGAGUUGUCUGAAUCUUCGGGGGACGAUAACGGCGUCGAGCGGCGGACGGGUGAGUAAUGCCUAGGAAAUUGCCCUGAUGUGGGGGAUAACCAUUGGAAACGAUGGCUAAUACCGCAUGAUGCCUACGGGCCAAAGAGGGGGACCUUCGG